rnacentral:rRNA from 1 species
UACGUAGGGUGCGAGCGUUAAUCGGAAUUACUGGGCGUAAAGCGUGCGCAGGCGGUUCGUCGUGUCCGAUGUGAAAGCCCCGGGCUCAACCUGGGAAUGGCAUUGGAAACUGGCGGACUCGAGUGUGGCAGAGGGGGGUGGAAUUCCGCGUGUAGCAGUGAAAUGCGUAGAGAUGCGGAGGAACACCGAUGGCGAAGGCAGCCCCCUGGGUUAACACUGACGCUCAGGCACGAAAGCGUGGGGAGCAAACAGG